rnacentral:lncRNA from 1 species
GCAGUGGUUAACGUGAAUCCGACUAGGAACCAUGAGGUUGGAGGUUCGGUCCCUGGCCUUGCCCAGUGGGUUAAGGACCCGGCGUUGCCGUGAGCUGUAGUGUAGGUUGCAGACGCGGCUCGGAACCUGCGUUGCUAUGGUUCUGGCGUAGGCUGGCAGCUACAGCUCUGAUGCAACCCCUAGCCUGGGAACCUCCAUAUGCCGCGGGAGCAGCCCAAGAAAUGUCAAAAAGACAAAAAAAAAAAAAAAUGGUGGAACAGUUGAAGGAAAGGCUAGGGGGGCUAUUUUGGAGGGCAGAGUGUUUUUAAUAACAGUGCACAGAUGCUAUGUCGUCGAAAGGGGAAUUGACGUGUUUAGUGUCACAAACAUGUUUUAAGGUUUAGCUUUUUAAUUCUUUCAUAUCUCAUGCUUAUACAUAAAUCUUUUUUCAGGAUUAUGAUAAAAGAAUGUUAUCUUUGUGUCUAUUGUUUCAACUUGGGUGUUGAAAUCUAUAUUUAAUAGACAUCUAGGUUUUAACAGGCCCUACAAGGCAAUGCUGAUGCAGUCUAAGUUAUGUGCCCUGCUUAUUUAGGGUCGAGGGUGAAUCUUUGGAGCAAAGAGCUCCCAGAGCACAGUGGCUCAAAGAUAACAGGUGUUAGUUUUCCUUCAAAGGGGAGUCUACGUGCAGGAGGCCGUCCCUGCCCGUGCAGGAUGUCAUCGCCAUCGUGAUUGUGCUGCAGGGAUCCGUGGCUGUCACCGCAGAUGUGCUGAAGGCUGGCGCACCCACACGUGUGCAUGGUGCAGCCUGAGCAAGUGGCAGAGACUAACGAACCAUUAGUCAAGGUGAUAAUGUAAAAAAUAAUACAAAUAUAUUUAUAUUACAUUUAUAAUAUAAAAAGAUACCUAUAUCUAUAAAGAUAUAUACAUAUACACAUAUCUAUGUAAAAAAGAUAAUAUAAAAAGAGCAUAUAUGUAUAUAUGUAUGUAUGACUGGGUCACUAUGCUGUACAGCAGAAAUGGACACAGCACUGUAAAUCAACCAUAAUUUACUAAUAAGGUGAUGCUUACUGCUCCAAAGACAGACCCCUAGAUCUCGGUGCAUUUGCCCCUUGAAGUCUGCUUCUCACGCACAUGGAGCCCUGGACAGACGGUCCCGUCCCGUGGGUAGAUCUCUCCCAAGAGCAGGCUGAGGACCAGAGCCUUUCCUGGUGAUCGCUUUACUCAGGUUCCACAUGUGAGUUCCAGGCUGGCUUUGCCUUCCUCCCGCCUCCGGAGAGGAAAGGAUCAUGAAGCAGCAAUGUGGGAGCAGCUCACGGAGCAGAGGCAGUGGGGCUGCUCAUUUGCAUCCCCUUCUAGUUUCUAGGAUGCAGCAGCACCGCCACGGCGGACUGAAAGCAGGGCUGGAAGAUAUGACUUGCUGUGCGCAGCAAGAACGGAAGUGUGUUCACUCGGCAGCUGCAAGGGUUGUGCCAGCCGGAGCAUGGUUUUAUUUUUUUAAGUUGUAAUUGGACGUUACAUCUUUCAUUCCCUCGUUUCUUAUUGACUUAAUCACAUGGCAACGUGAGCUGCAGGAGCUGGGAAAAGAAAGUCCUCUCUGAGGCUUACAUUCAGAUCAAAUUUGCUGAAGGAGGAAGAAAGCAAUUUAUAACUGAUGAAAACUUAGCAGUUUCUGCCACACCUUUUCACCCGUAAAAUCGCAAAUACAUUUGUUUAGUGAAAGUUGAAUAUGAAUCGUGGGAAUAGCAUUGACCCCCAGCUAAUUUUCAUUUCGCAAAGGUUUCUGAAGAAAUAAAGUGACAACAGAAACAGUUCCAUUUUUCCUUUUCAUCUAGCGUUAGAUGUUCUGUCUCUCAGUCUUAACAAUAGAUAGAAGGGCUUUGGGGAGUCUUACUUUUUCGUCAACAAGCUUUUAUUUAUUUAGGAGAAAUGCUUCGGGUUUAGUACUCUGGAAUUUUAAAGAAAGCCUUUACUAAAACAUAGGUUUAGUGAAGUGCUUUGCUUUUACUGGGAAUGUGGCAGAUGCCAGUCUAAAUAAAUUUCUAUAUAACUGAUUAGCAGCUGUCUCUCAGGAAAGUGUAAGCAGCAGCGUGACACUUAAGAAUCCAUCCUUCAUUUGGUGAACAGGAGCCUUGCAAAGGAAAUUAUGUUUCCAGGAAAAAAACAAACAAACUAAUAUUUAACUAUAAGAAUUAAACUAUUGUUUGUCAGGAACACUGCAGAAUAUUUUCUCAGAUAGUAGCUACUUCAGUGAUUUUAUUGGUAGUAGGGCUGUGUCUGUAAGGCAGGGCGGGAUGAAGAACUAAAACCAGAAGGGGCUAAGACGUAAAACUGAGGGAGAAGGGAGAUGAAAACACGGAGGAUGUGACGUCGUCCAGGAAAACGCCCUUGAGUGAAGGCGGACCCUUGGCAAACGUCGCAGAGCUGAGAAGAGGGUUGUGGCAAACUCACAGGACGUGCGAAUGAGCCCUCAACCACCCCCCGUGGUUUGUUUUUACGGUUGGCACGUUUCCGCUUGCUUUCCCGUUUUCUGCAGAGGGUAGGACAUCUUCUAACGUGCCCAGCGUUCUGAUGCCACCCCGCCCCCUCUGCACUUCCGUCCCAAUCGUGUUCUCGGUUUACGUUUGUUGUGCUUCUAGGAUGAGACACAGAGGAGCGUGCUCUUUCACGUGCGACUGGAACCAUCCACGCACUCGUGCUUAGUACCGUGGGUGAAGCAGCUCCUCCAGCAGAUGCCCGUUCCUCCCUGUGUUCGCUCAUCUCAGACCCUCCUGUUCUUGAAACCGUCAGCACCCCUUUCUCACCUAUCAUCAGUGGGGUUCUCUCUAAAAGGCAACCUCAUUAGCAUACAGUGACUCUAACAUCUGUUGAAAAAUACAACUCUUUUCAUUUCACAAAGGCCUUCAGCGUCUGCACUGCUGCCAGAGACGUAUCCUCGCAUGUUUUCGGCACUGGCUCCCGUGGCGGUUGACUCUUCACCUCCUCCCUCCACGGCUUUGUCUUUCUCCAUCCAAUGAAACCAUCCCUUCCACUGUUACAAAGGAACUCUGUGUUGGCAAAUCCAAAGAUACAUACUUUCUUCUCGCCUCACUUUACUCAAUAUUUCGUAGACAUUCAGUCCAAUGGUUGAUUCUCCCUUUCGCCAAUGAGCUAGUAUUGUUUAGAUUCCUUGAUAAGAGGCACUCUUGGGUUUCCUCAUUCAUUGGUUUCUUCUUUUCUAGAUCCCUUUUUUUCCCCCCUUUUCUACAUAGUUCCUAAACAUGGCACUUUGAAUAACCUCCCUCUUCCUCACUGGUUUUCAAAUGAAUGAAGAGAUAAAAGAGUUAAUCAGUUGGGAGCAGAAUACAGUAUUUGUGAAUGAUAAAAUGGACAUUGAAGACUGUGGCUUAUGUAUGUGGGCUAGUGGUCUUUCCAGUCACUGGCCUUGGAUGUCAACAGAGUUGUUUGGUCAAUAUCAGUUUAGAUCCCUCCUACCUGCGUGUUCUUCAUCAAAGCUGACAAAAUAAAAGAGAGGAGAGGAAAGAACAGAACUAAGCUUAGGCAGGAUCAUUAUCCUAAACUGGAUGCAUGCCAUUAUGAGACGACUAGGGAGCAACAAAGACAGGCCAGCAGCGCUGCUUCCUCUCUGUGGCAGGAAACGUUGUAAAUGAGUGUGAUGGGUAGAGGCAAGCCCCAUAACAGCUGGAACUGUGAAGGUCAUAGAAAGAGAUAUAAGCCACAAAUACUCUGUGACAAGGCUGUGACAAGUCCAUAAAUAAAGGAGAGAAAGCAUCUGAUCAGAAAGACCAUCUUAGGGUACCCAGUAGAAAAUAGCAUCCUUAUCCAUUUAGCCAUUGCUUGCUUCCUCUUACACCCCUUGGAGGCUGACGCAAAUAAUUGCUCUUUUAUGAUUUGCCUAAAGUACAAGCGAAAGACCUUGAGUACAGGAUCUUCAUUUUGUUCAGGCUGUCUCCCCAUCAUCUCUAAGAGUAACCAGAAUGUAGUAUGCAUCGUUGAAUGAGUGAAUAAAUGAAUUCAAAGACCACACUAUAUAGAGAAGUGUCACAUCUCUUCCAUUGUUGGAAGAGAUUACUGGUCUCUGGGUUGAUCAGGGAAGGCUUCAAUGAGACACAAUUUAAGCUAGACUACAAAUAAUACAACUGUGCUAAUAAGCAAGAUGGUGAGAAGAGCAUGACCAAAAGUGAAGUUUAAAAAAAAACAAAACACAAGACAGAUUUUGGGUGUAUGACAGUUAUUAGCAUUGACAAUACAUGAACAGCUUCUAUUUAUCACAGUAGUAUAAAAAAACAACAUGAAAUAUCUGCAAGAUAUAAAAGCACACAUUUAAUUUUUUAAUUUAUUUUUUCUCUUGGAAUGAUUACAAGUUACUGACUUUAAUUCAGUAUUUAACUUUAUAAAUUUAUAUAUUCUAGAGAAGACGAUAUGGUGUGUGUGUGUGUGUGAACACAAGUAUUUGUACAUGAUUGUGUAUGUAUAACAAUCCCUACAAACACUAUUUGGACAGUUUAUGCUUAUUGAAAACAUAUGAAUUAUAUUCUUUGAAAUGGUUUUUGUUAUCUAACUUAUUUCCAAAAGUUACAAAUGACUUAUUGCCCCAUAUCGACAUAUUGGCAAAGCCAUUGUUUUUCCCAAUUACUCUAGUUUAUAUAUUCUAGUUUUCUUACUUCAAAUUCUUUCAGUAUAGUAAGCUGAAAAUCUCUUUUCUGGGUUCAGAAGCUUCCUAUAAGUAGAAUAAUCACAUGCUGUUUUAUUUCUUGCGGGUUCUGUUAAUUGCAGUAUGAAGUAAUGUGGCCUGAAAAAUAUAAAAAUUGUCGGUGCCUAUAAGGUUUUCAUUGAUUCACUGAAAAAUGAAUGUGAGAUUGGAAAUAUUCUAGUAUUCUUUUUCUGCAAGAGAAAAAUUUCAAGUCGAUAGAACAAUCAAGAAUUGCAUAGAUACGAUGCCUGCUGUUUCUCGCUAGGAGGUUCAAUAAUCUUCUGAUUCUUUCCCUAUAAUAUCGCACAAAAUUGCUUGUAUUAGGCAACUAACAGGUAGCACAAGAGCACGAUUAUGAAUGAGAUGGUUUUCUCUGAUCGACAGGCUACAUCUGAUUUUUAAUGUUGCAUUUUAUCCUCAUUGAUUGGAACAUGCGAAUAGUCCCUCUUCAGAGGAAUGGCUCAGCUUGUAGAUGAAAUCAUAAUUGUUUUGUGUUAGCCCACACAUUUUCAAGCUUUUAACAGUAAUCUUAGGCCUGAAAUGGAAAUGUAUGUUUUUUUAAUAUAAAACUUAUCUGAAACACCCAGAAAGGUCAAUUUCAUUGUUCUCCUAUAUGAAAAACAUUUUAGUCAACUACAGAAUUGAGGGCACUUACCACCAUCACACUUCAGCUGAGAAAAUAUGUAUUUUUUAAUCCACACCAUGUGUGGCCCCCGGAGAUUUUCUCUGCCCUAGACAAACAGCAGGUCCCAUAGGAGGGCCACUAGACCAAGCAUAUUUUCACCUUGCCCACUGUGGAAACUUGGGAAAGAGGAGUAUUUUAUAACUCUGAUCUUUAAAAAAUUGCAUCUAACUCUCUUUCCACUAAUCCUUAGGCAUGCAUGAUGGUUUAGAACAUAUUGUUUCUGAAGAUGAUAAAGGACACAUACUUUUCCUACCACACAUGGAUUUACUAAGCCCUCUUUUUUAUGAGGUGAAGAUAAAAAAAUCUUGUGAAUAUUAAAUAUGAUUUUCCUAUAGUAACCCAAGAAAGAAUAGCUACAAAAAUCAAUGCACAUUGAGAAGUGAAAAUGCUAUCUCUGAAAAGACACCUAUGUACAUAUAUUUUACAUAAUAUCAAGCUGUCAUCUUGUACUUUGGGUUUUAGAAAUUACAAUAAUACAAUUGCAUAGUUAUUAUUUUAAUAUCAUCACUAAUUGAUUUUGCUCCACAAAUACUUUUGUUGUUUGUGUUUUCCAAAAUAAGUAAUAGCACAAUGAAAAAUUGGAGAUUUAAUUUUUAUUUGUGAAUCUUUAUAAUCAUUUCUAUCUCCUUGGCAUACACAACAUGAUCGAGAAUAAAAGAGCAAAUAUGGAAUAAAAAA